CAGAGGGGGAAGGCCUGAACAGGCCGAAAAGCCAGCCGGUUGGGCAUCAGUGGAGGUCAGCAGGGGGGAGAGGGGACCUAUGUGGACCCCCCCCCCUGUUGCCUCCAACAACUUCCCUGGAGGGGGGCAGCUUACAGGAUUCGUUCCACCUUCCAUUUUAUCUGAACACUCUUGCUGCCAGAAGUGCUGCCACCCACCUAAAAUGCUGAGGCGACUGCUGGUGGUUCAAGUCUCUCAUUUGGAAUCUCUGCUCUACACUGCAAUCCAGCAAGCCCUC